GUAUGGGAGGCUCACUACUACCAAGCCCACCUCACAAUGAUAUGAUAUUGGCUAGCAUUAAUAAUAAUGAGAGAGUACACUUACUCAUUUGCAUCUCUUGCAAGUACCCAUCUAAUUUGGCCUCUAGAGAAUGUAACCUCACAAUGAUAUGAUAUUGGUUCCAUUGCACUUAGUUAAGUCAUUCCCACCAUGUUUAGUUCAUGAAGGGGUUCAAGAAUAGCCUCACAAUGAUAGAUAUCGCCAUCCUCGUUGCCUACACUCACCUCAUCAAGUAUGUAUAUAGACUCCUCCUGAGUAUAAGCAUGCACUUUGCACUCCCCCAUGAUAGGGUGAAGGCGGUGUACAAGUCAUAAACAAUUGGAGCUACCAUGGUGGAAGGCCACGAAAGAGUGUUCAAAGCACUCUCACGCUUAUCAACUUAAUAAUGGUUUGGUUGAGGGUUUUAGGUCUCAUCACAUAUAAACAUUCAUUUUAAUCUAUAUUAAAACAAUUUUGGUCCUAUUACAACUAUUGGUCCAUUUGAUUGUUUUAGUUGUAUAUA
rnacentral:lncRNA from 1 species